GAUGAACGCUAGCUACAGGCUUAACACAUGCAAGUCGAGGGGCAGCAUGGUCUUAGCUUGCUAAGACUGAUGGCGACCGGCGCACGGGUGAGUAACACGUAUCCAACCUGCCGUCUACUCUUGGACAGCCUUCUGAAAGGAAGAUUAAUACAAGAUGGCAUCAUGAGUCCGCAUGUUCACAUGAUUAAAGGUAUUCCGGUAGACGAUGGGGAUGCGUUCCAUUAGAUAGUAGGCGGGGUAACGGCCCACCUAGUCUUCGAUGGAUAGGGGUUCUGAGAGGAAGGUCCCCCACAUUGGAACUGAGACACGGUCCAAACUCCUACGGGAGGCAGCAGUGAGGAAUAUUGGUCAAUGGGCGAGAGCCUGAACCAGCCAAGUAGCGUGAAGGAUGACUGCCCUAUGGGUUGUAAACUUCUUUUAUAAAGGAAUAAAGUCGGGUAUGCAUACCCGUUUGCAUGUACUUUAUGAAUAAGGAUCGGCUAACUCCGUGCCAGCAGCCGCGGUAAUACGGAGGAUCCGAGCGUUAUCCGGAUUUAUUGGGUUUAAAGGGAGCGUAGAUGGAUGUUUAAGUCAGUUGUGAAAGUUUGCGGCUCAACCGUAAAAUUGCAGUUGAUACUGGAUAUCUUGAGUGCAGUUGAGGCAGGCGGAAUUCGUGGUGUAGCGGUGAAAUGCUUAGAUAUCACGAAGAACUCCGAUUGCGAAGGCAGCCUGCUAAGCUGCAACUGACAUUGAGGCUCGAAAGUGUGGGUAUCAAACAGGAUUAGAUACCCUGGUAGUCCACACGGUAAACGAUGAAUACUCGCUGUUUGCGAUAUACUGCAAGCGGCCAAGCGAAAGCGUUAAGUAUUCCACCUGGGGAGUACGCCGGCAACGGUGAAACUCAAAGGAAUUGACGGGGGCCCGCACAAGCGGAGGAACAUGUGGUUUAAUUCGAUGAUACGCGAGGAACCUUACCCGGGCUUAAAUUGCAGAUGAAUUACGGUGAAAGCCGUAAGCCGCAAGGCAUCUGUGAAGGUGCUGCAUGGUUGUCGUCAGCUCGUGCCGUGAGGUGUCGGCUUAAGUGCCAUAACGAGCGCAACCCUUGUUGUCAGUUACUAACAGGUUCCGCUGAGGACUCUGACAAGACUGCCAUCGUAAGAUGUGAGGAAGGUGGGGAUGACGUCAAAUCAGCACGGCCCUUACGUCCGGGGCUACACACGUGUUACAAUGGGGGGUACAGAGGGCCGCUACCACGCGAGUGGAUGCCAAUCCCCAAAACCUCUCUCAGUUCGGACUGGAGUCUGCAACCCGACUCCACGAAGCUGGAUUCGCUAGUAAUCGCGCAUCAGCCACGGCGCGGUGAAUACGUUCCCGGGCCUUGUACACACCGCCCGUCAAGCCAUGGGAGCCGGGGGUACCUGAAGUGCGUAACCGCGAGGAGCGCCCUAGGGUAAAACUGGU
rnacentral:rRNA from 1 species